CACCCACUUGCAGCACGUUGUCCACGGCGCCCGUCUCCAGCAGGCGGAUGCCUCUGCGGAAGGGGAGCCCCUCGGUGACGGCGGCGCUGGCCGGGACGCCCGAGGCCGUGACCACUGUGACUGUUGCCAGCCAAUAACUGCGACUAUUUGAAUAACUGAUGAUGGGGAGGGCUGCCUCCAGGGUUGAACAGGACCUUGACAAAGUGCUGUCUGGUCCCUCUUGUGGUAGAAACGAGGAAAGCAAUGUUAAAAGUCCGUUUCAAGAGGAACGUGGAAGAUACUGUACCGUACAUCUCAAGCCUUUCAUUCAGUUCCUGAAAGCUGCAGUAGCUGCGGAGAUAGAUGUCUAUUGCAAAGGAUCAAGCUAUCUAGACUGGUAGAUUUCUCAGCCAUUUGACGCUGAACACCAUGAGAUGCUGCAGGAAACAGGAGCUUCAGUAUAUAUAUGCAUAGUGUCCUUGACUGAAGAGAAAAGCUGACUGACAAGGAGCAACCCAAGUAUACAGAGAACCUUUUCCAAUUGCAAAAUGUCUUAUUAACCAAAUCUCAGCAAGCGAGACUUGCUUGCAUGGUGGAGACCAAUGGCACCACACACACACACACACACCCUUCUAGGGUUUGGUCUGAAUCAAAAUGGUGUCCGGCAUCUAAAUGUCAAUGAAGACUGCUGUCCCCACUUCAGGAAACCUCAUGCCAAGUUUGGCAGCGAUAUCUGGAGGCAGCCAAAACUAUGCCAAAAAAGUCACGCCAAAGUCACGUUUUGGUUUGAAUCAAGAUGGCACCCGGCAUCCAAACAAUGACAAAGUCUGCCACCCUUCAUGCUGAGUUUGGUGGUGAUACCUUGAGAGGUAGCUGAACCUACACAAAAAAAUUGGGCAAAGUCAUUCCCAAGUAACAUUUGGGUUCUCCACCUUGAUUCAAAAUGGCAAUCAGAAUCCAAACUCCAACAACAACUGUCCCCCUCUCCACCCGCAGCUCAGGAACCCUCGUGCCAAGUAUGGCAAUGGUAUCUCAUGAGGCAGCUGAACCUAUGAAGAACAGAGGGACCGAUAGAUGGACAAAUCACUUUCCAAAAUAUAUAGUAGAUGCAAAGGGCUGGCAAAUAGUGCCUAAGGAGAGGACAUCCUUUCUUGCAGUGAAAUAAGUGGUACUCCACACUACUGAAUCCGAGAUGGCAAAAUAACCAAGUUUAUUGAACUUCCCUUUAAAACCCAAAAUGUAACCAUGUUGUGUAUAGGCAAUAUUUAUACCUUAAACAAAUUUCAAAAGGUUUGUACAUAAUAAUCGCCUCCCAUAUAUUAUCUCACCUUUGUGAGUGGCAGCCUGAUGGGUAGAUAGAUAUAAAGCUCCUAACUUAACUGGACAGGCAGGCCUUUGUGUAAGAAGCCAGGGUCACAUUGUGAAGAGGCUGUGAGGUCCACAUUUUGGAUUCAGAUCUAAUGGGAAACCAUGGUUUACAGUGUAAGCUUUACGCCAACCAUAGUUUGCUGAGACUUCUCUAUAUUUGUAUUAACUGAAAAGUUGGCAAAUGAUGCACAAAUGAGCUGCCACUUGCCCCCCCAGGUUUCUGCUUUCUUUUUAGUUUUCAAUCUUCCGUGAAGGUGUCUUUUCCCUGCCACAUCGUGGCACAACUUCUCCGGCCUACAAAGAACUAUAAGUAAUUGUUCUGUCUUUGAAUCUUCAGCCAGAACAGCUUCAGUCAGAACUGUAAAGGACUAGACUUCCUUUCAAACCUGGUACCCACAUGGAAAGCAAAGGACCAACCAUCCAACACAGAAGGAGGCUCAUCCAACACAUUACUUCAUAUUUCUGUUACAAAUACAUUUGCUCUGAAUGCCAACAAUUUUAUGUCCUGACAAAUAUCAAGAUACUGGCGUGUGAAGCCUGGGUUACUGCAGAAAGAAUUACUGCCUUUUCCUCUCCUCUGGAGGAAAUGCUAAUAAGGGGGUUGAGAUCCAAAAUGUUACUCAUUGACCCAAGAGAGCAGGCUUCUGGCCCAGCUGGCCUUGGCUGAAAGCAAUGCUGAGUUCAGCAAAAAAACCAAAACCCCAACCACACAUCCCCUAAUCAUUCAUGUUCACUCUAGUUAAUUAGAAAUACUAAAAUAACAUGGGAAUCAUUUUUGCCAGACUGAAAGAGCAUGAAUAAAUCAAGCAAAAACCGUGAGUAAACAGGACACUUCAAAUUAGCUUUCCAGAAUAGUUCCUUCAUCAAUUCAAGCUAGUUUCAGUGUACAGCAUGGUGGUAAAUGAUCAACAUGGCCUUUUCCCUAGGCCCCCCCCACAAGGGCUCUUUACCUUGAAACCCCAACUUUUGCAAUAAAGAAAACUCUUUAAGAGCAGAAGCAUCCAGGUGAGCAGGCAUGACAGAUUCUGCAGUUCAGGUAAGCUGAACUACACAUAUUACACAACUGUAGGAACCUUGCAAGGAAAGGACAAUUCACUGUAUGCUGUUGUGCCUGUACUAAAAGGGAGGGAAACAUACAUUCUUGAAUUUCUCUUUAGUUCCAAACUCCCAUACAUUGCAGCUAAGUGUGGGGAAGCAGGGCUGGUUCAAGACCUUUAGCUGUCUGAGGUGGAGCAGCAAAUUGUGCUCACCAGGCUGAUUGCCUCCCUGUCCCCUCCUCCACCAUCCUCUGUGGCUGCUAUCACUUACUGCACAAUGCUUUUCUCUCAGGAAUGAUCCUUAUUCAGGGUCCUUAUUCAGAGUGAGGCAUUGCGGGGCAAGUGGGCCCUGGAAAGGCACGCUGUACGAAUGAUGUCCGUGCUUCUGAUUUGCCAUGGCAAGCACUGCUUAAAGUGUAAUAGUUUCCUGCUUAAAGAGCUUUUGCCACAGCAGCAGUGACAACAGGUAGACUUGCAGAUCUCAUCUCUGUAGUGUUCUCAACCCACAAUGCCAUGCUUUGAGGAAGAAAGCUGCCUUAUGUGUGGAGAGAUAGAGGUGGAGCAAGGGCCCAUGGCUGCUUUGCUGUGGUAGCAAAAACUGCUUAGUUUUUCCCCAUAACAGUGGCAGGAACCUAUGGGACUCUCCUGCUCAUCAACAGCAGAGAGCAUACGUAGCCAGUUCUCUCCGUCUCUCUUUGGGGGGGGUGUCAUAGAAGGGACCCCAAGGGUCAGCUAGUCCAACCUCCUGCAAUGCA